GUUAAUAGAGCAGUCUAAAACAUUUUUAGAAACUCAAAGAACAUAACCGGAAACUAUUUUAAUUCAUAAUUUGUCAAACAACUUUUACAUGCCACUGUUCAUGGAUGAAGAAAAGAGAUGGCAAUGCUAUGGCUUGAUGCAAGGGUAACUGCUAGUUAUGAAUUCACCACCCAAGGGAAGAGACUAUGACAAAACGCUGUCAACAACGGCGUGCGUUGAUGCCGUCGUUGGUGUCGCCAACCAAACGGUCAGCUGAACACCAAAAUGUCAGAACUGGCCCCCCAAGGCAAAUCGAAUAGAAACAGAUCAAAGGCAGCUGUGACACUAGAGCAGCUGUGAUGCGCAGAGCUGCGCUGAUUUAUAUUACUAUACAUAUAUUGUCCAAUAGUAUGAGGAAAGCCGGAAAUGCCUAAUUACAUGUUUCGUUGGGUCUUCGGAUGUGACUCUUAAGAGAGCGAAAUUAAGUUUAAGUUGAGGCAAUAUCUUGCAGAACUUCCAAAUUUAUUAGUCAUUAUCUCAAUAUAAA